UGAUGAGAGAUCUUUGAGCUAUAAUGUAUCUUAAUUAAAACUAUCUUUAGAUAGCUUUUUGAGGGGCAAAAAAACAUUUUAUCAAAAAAAUGCAAUUUUUUUGAUUUUUUUUUUAAAUCAUUGAUAUUUAUCCACCCUGGUUGCAAGUGUAUAGCAAGGCUGGUCCCAGCAGGGAGCCAGAGUGUCAAAAAUCCUUAGCUGGUGGGAGAGCCUCUCUGUGAGCAUCUACAAAGCAUCUCACUUAAAGAGUGACUGAUUGAACGAUUUAUUGUAAGGGACGCCCUUUCUCAGACCCUUUCCCUUUAUUGUCUCCCAACCCCCCACGUCAGUCCCUGACCCAGGAUUGCCAAGCCAAACUAAAAUACUACUUGUUUGAAAUCUCACAGCUCGCCAAGACUGUCUAAUUGUCCAGGUGGCUGAGCCCAAAGGCAGCUCUGUGAACACCUCCAUACCAAAUGCCAGCUCCAUUUCAGAGACGUCUUUCUUCGUGCAGAAAUAGAACACCUCCACUUCGUCGUGGGAAGAUGUCAUUUAUUCCUCUGAUGGGGGCUCCCAAACAGUCCUCAGUUCCUUCAAGGAGACACUCUCCUUUUCCAAUGGAUACUUCAAGAUUGAGAACAUGAGCAAAGGGGCUGAAGGAGUUUACAGGAUUCAAGAGCCCAGCUCAUUCCCACCUACUGUGUCUGGGACCUCCGGUGCUGAGGAGGAAGCUCGUGAUGAGACCAAAGGGGAUGGGAAGUAGCUUGUGAUUUCCUUCCCUAGUAGCCUGUCUCCUCCCAGCCUGAAUUUCACACGUCUGUCCCAGCUCCCACUGACGUCAGUGUGAGCUUGAGGGCAGCGUCCAGUUGCUCCGGAUCUUCUCAGGCGGCCUGAUGGCUUGUGCCACAAUUGGCCAAAAAUGGACCACGGGGAGCUGGCACAGCAGAGUUGGCUACAGCCAAGGACAAGCCCUUGGCUGAUUGAGGAGCUGUGUUUGGGGCCUCCCAACAGCCAGCGUCCUGGAAUCGUCUCAUGGUGCGUGGAGUGGUGGCAGUGGUGGGGGUGCUAGUCUUACUAUACCUAUGUGGGUUUUGAAAAGGUAGAGGAAAAGUGUUUGCCUACUCGCAGCACGUCUUCAGGAAGCUGCUGACUCAUCCCUCCCCGCAGCCUGGAAGUCGGCAGGAUUCCCAGGAAUCUGAGCUCCCCGCUGUGUGUGACAGGGACGGGGAUCAGGCCCAGGGAACCAGAAACAGGAAUCGAGACCCAGCCCUGGAGAAUGGGGAAGGAGACCUGUUUGCGAAUUCGUAUCCGGUCUGCUGAAUUGUUCACGUCCAGACCCUCCCCACAGUUCUUAAAAAGUCAAAGCAUUUCGUUUAGAUGCUUUCCAAACAAACCAUUUUGAUUUUUCAGUUUGAAACAAUUUUUUGUUUAAAAAUGUCCUUCAGUUUUAUUUUAAAAAUUCAAAAAGUUACAACCCUUGAAAUGUUCCUGGGUCUUUUUGUUUUUUUUUUUUUUAAAGCUUUUUGGUUCAUCAAAAAUUUGGAAAAAUGUUAGUUUUGUUCAACCUGAAACCGGUUUUUUUCCAUCUCUUUUUUGGAAUUGCCAGCGACCAAAAAAUUCUGUUUGCCCAGCUCGAGGGGCAGGUGAGGAUUUUGGCGGUUAUAUUGUGGGUCUCUAAGUCUCCUUGUUGCUCAAAGUUUUCUUACUGCAACAAAUUAAUUUGGGAUGAGGGCAGGAUGGGCAAAAGCUUCCUAAAAGUGCGGGGGGGGGCUGCUGGCACCCAAACUGUGGCCCAGCCCCUGUGCCACCCCUUCUCCUCGAGGUCCGGCCCCCUCAAACCGCCCCUUUCCGAGGCCCCCCCUCUUGCCGCCUUUCUCCCUGAGCUCCCACUUCAUGCCGUCCAUUGCCCCCAAAACACUGCCCCCCCACUCCCUUCUCUCCCCCAUCAUCCAGUCGCUCACACUUAUGGCCAGUAAAAAGUGGUGGGCCCUGGUCUCCCCUGUUCUGGCACCCCUGGCUGAGAGUGGGAGAGGAUGAAGAACUCCUUUCAAAUAUAACCCCCCCCCCCAACCUCAAAAAAGCACAAUUUGCCAGCAAUAGCAAAACAUGCACCUAACCAAUCCGGGCCAGUCACGCUGUGUUGUGUGUGACAUUCCCAUCCUGGGGCGGUUUAUGUCUUUGAGAAUGUGAACCCUGCAGGCCUGGGUGUUUCUCUGCGUAAUGUGACCUCAGUGCUCCUGAUGAGAGCCGUUGUUUGUAAAUGUUUCAGUAGCAGACAUAUUUAUCAUUCAUGUACAGACAGACAUUUAUUCACAAUUAGAACUGGUCAAAAAUAGCGGGGGUGGAGAGGGUCAUGAAAAGUGAAGAAGAAACCACUCCCCCUCCCCCCCCCCCCCCCCCCGCCAUAUUCUUCAAACUUAUUUGGAAAUGUUUUUAAUUAUCAAAUUUUUGUUUCGUUUUGGUGGGAAAAACUCCAUGUUCUCUCUCAAGUGGGCAGAGAAAUCCAAAAUGUUUGGUAAAAAAGAGGUAACUUUUUUCAAAUGAUCAGUGUAAUCCAAAGUGGCAUUUUUAGUUCAAAGGUUGCAUAGUGAGUGUAAAACACUUUUGAACCAGCUCUAUUACUGUAUAACAAGAUGAGUUUAUUUGUCAUGCUGCAUUGUUUGGGCCAGGUUCCAAGUGGCAUUUCAGUCUUUGCACAGCUCUUCUCUUCUUGUGUCUGCACCUCUCAUAAGCUGUGGCCUUAAUCUCGGCCCUGGAAACCCUUACGUGCAUGUUUCACUUUAAUGACUGCUGUGAAUAAUUCCAUUUCAAUGGGACAACUCUGAGGUCGGGUUUACGCUAUGGCCCAAUAUCGGUGUAACUAUGUCAUUUAUUUAAUUUUCUUUCUUUUAUAUGUGAAAGUUCUUGAGAGGUUAAAGCAGGUAAAAUACGUGAACAGGUUCAGACACUCCAAGUUUGUCAGUGCAAAGUGACAGCAGAGAUGUGGGAUCUGCUAGUUUUCCAGAAGUCUCUCAGGGUUACCCAGGAUAACUUUGGGGAUCUCUGUCUUGCACCUGGAAUGUUCCCUGAAAGUGUCCAAACAGCUCAGAGAUACAGAACCAUUCCCUGGAUCCAUUCUUAUAGCUGUCUUCCCCGGAAAGCAGUCUGGCAAGUGUUCCUGUCAGCUCUUUGCUAAGUUAUCUGCCAAAACACUAGAGUUUUCAGGUGCCUAAGUAGCCCCUGGAAUCAGGAUGAAAUUAUCCUCCCCGCCACCACCAAAAUUGGAAAUGGUGCCCCGGAGUGCACGGGACCCUACCGUGCUCCCCCAUAGGAGCUGCAUGAACAGACAACUCUGCAAGUUCUCUGCAUGCCUCUGCAAGUGACCCCCAUGCCUCUCCAUUUCCUUGGCCACAUGUAUCCUGUCCCCAUGCUGGCGGCUAAUGCUGGCGGCUAACCACAUGAGGGAUGUGUUGGGGUGAGAUCAGCUGGUCAAAGCAGGCAAUAGGGACAGAAUCUGAGACUUGAAGCUCCUAGAGUGACCUCUGACCUUUCCAGACCUGCCCUUCAAUCAGACACAGCGAUUGUAAAGUUGAAUGUGAUAGUAACUAGACCCAUUUUAAACCCUUCAUCACACAAGACAAAGCCCGUAGGAUUCCUCAUUAACAAUUUAUUUCUCCUCCCCUGGAUUCCUGCAGCCACCAGCCACCUUGGAGCUUUCCCUCCUCUCUCCCAGGCUGUGCUCACUUGAUUGCAGGAGCUCAGCGGAGGGUCCAGCUUUGCUCUUUCGCUUCCAUUCUUCACGUCUUUGGGUGGCUGCAUUGGCAACUGAGCAGCCUGAUGGAAACACUGAGUCCUCUGUCUCGGCAGGCAGGCCCAGCCGCGAAAGCCAAAGACUCCCUGAGAACAGGGGGAGGUUCGCCUGAACUCUCAGGAGUGGAGGCUGGGCCCAUAGGGUAGGGUUACCAUAUUU